AUUGAACGCUGGCGGCAGGCCUAACACAUGCAAGUCGAGCGGAGCGGCGGACGCGUGCGUAUUGCCUAGGAAUCUGCCCGUUCGUGGGGGAUAAUGUCCGGAAACGGGCGCUAAUACCGCAUACUCUCAGAUGAGCCUAUGGCGGCUUAUCUUUUUGGUGGGGUAAAGGCCUACCAAGGCAACGAUCCGUAGCUGGUCUGAGAGGAUGAGCAGUCACAAUGGAACUGAGACACGGUCCAGACUCCUACGUGAGGCAGCAGUGGGGAAUAUUGGACAAUGGGCGAAAGCCUGAUCCAGCCAUGCCGCGUGUGUGAAGAAGGUCUUCGGAUUGUAAAGUACGUUUAGUUGGGAGGCGGUACCAACAGAAUAAGCAACGGCUAACUACGUGCCAGCAGCCGCGGUAAUUC
rnacentral:rRNA from 1 species